GCACAAGCGGUGGAUGAUGUGGUUUAAUUCGAUGCAACGCGAAAACCUUACCCACCUUUGACAUGGCAGGAAUCCUAAAGAGAUUGGGAGUGCUCGAAAGAGAACCUGCACACAGGUGCUGCAUGGCUGUCGUCAGCUCGUGUCGUGAGAUGUUGGGUUAAGUCCCGCAACGAGCGCAACCCUUGCCAUUAGUUGCUACGAAAGGGCACUCUAAUGGGACUGCCGGUGACAAACCGGAGGAAGGUGGGGAUGACGUCAAGUCCUCAUGGCCCUUAUAGGUGGGGCUACACACGUCAUACAAUGGCCGGUACAGAGGGUAGCCAACCCGCGAGGGGGAGCCAAUCCCACAAAGCCGGUCGUAGUCCGGAUCGCAGUCUGCAACUCGACUGCGUGAAGUCGGAAUCGCUAGUAAUCGCGGAUCAGCAUGUCGCGGUGAAUACGUUCCCGGGUCUU
rnacentral:rRNA from 1 species